AACGAACGCUGGCGGCAGGCCUAACACAUGCAAGUCGAACGAUCCUUCGGGAUAGUGGCGGACGGGUGAGUAACACGUGGGAACGUGCCUUUUGGUUCGGAACAACUCAGGGAAACUUGAGCUAAUACCGGAUGUGCCCUUCGGGGGAAAGAUUUAUCGCCAUUAGAGCGGCCCGCGUCUGAUUAGCUAGUUGGUGGGGUAAAGGCCUACCAAGGCGACGAUCAGUAGCUGGUCUGAGAGGAUGAUCAGCCACAUUGGGACUGAGACACGGCCCAAACGCCUACGGGAGGCAGCAGUGGGGAAUCUUGCGCAAUGGGCGAAAGCCUGACGCAGCCAUGCCGCGUGAAUGAUGAAGGUCUUAGGAUUGUAAAAUUCUUUCACCGGGGACGAUAAUGACGGUACCCGGAGAAGAAGCCCCGGCUAACUUCGUGCCAGCAGCCGCAGUAA
rnacentral:rRNA from 1 species